GUGGGGAAUCUUGCGCAAUGGGCGAAAGCCUGACGCAGCCAUGCCGCGUGGAUGAUGAAGGUCUUAGGAUUGUAAAAUCCUUUCACCGGUGAAGAUAAUGACUGUAGCCGGAGAAGAAGCCCCGGCUAACUUCGUGCCAGCAGCCGCGGUAAUACGAAGGGGGCUAGCGUUGCUCGGAUUUACUGGGCGUAAAGGGCGCGUAGGCGGACAUUUAAGUCAGGGGUGAAAUCCCGGGGCUCAACCUCGGAACUGCCUUUGAUACUGGGUGUCUUGAGUAUGAGAGAGGUGUGUGGAACUCCGAGUGUAGAGGUGAAAUUCGUAGAUAUUCGGAAGAACACCAGUGGCGAAGGCGACACACUGGCCCAAUACUGACGCUGAGGCGCGAAAGCGUGGGGAGCAAACAGGAUUAGAAACCCGUGUAGUCC
rnacentral:rRNA from 1 species